GACGGAGGGUGCAAGCGUUGUUCGGAAUUACUGGGCGUAAAGGGCGCGUAGGCGGUCUGUUAAGUUCGGUGUGAAAGCCCCCGGCUCACCUGGGGAACUGCGCCGGAAACCGACAGACUCGAGUACCGGAGAGGAGGGUGGAAUUCCUGGUGUAGCGGUGAAAUGCGUAGAUAUCGGAAGGAACAUCAGUGGCGAAAGCGGCUUCCUGGUCCAGCACCGACGUUCAGGCACGAAAGCGUGGGGAGCAAACAGG
rnacentral:rRNA from 1 species